UACGUAGGGUGCAAGCGUUAAUCGGAAUUACUGGGCGUAAAGCGUGCGCAGGCGGUUGUGCAAGACCGAUGUGAAAUCCCCGGGCUCAACCUGGGAAUGGCAUUGGUGACUGCACGGCUAGAGUGUGUCAGAGGGGGGUAGAAUUCCACGUGUAGCAGUGAAAUGCGUAGAGAUGUGGAGGAACACCGAUGGCGAAGGCAGCCCCCUGGGUUAACACUGACGCUCAGGCACGAAAGCGUGGGGAGCAAACAGG
rnacentral:rRNA from 1 species